rnacentral:rRNA from 1 species
GAUGAACGCUGGCGGCGUGCUUAACACAUGCAAGUCGAACGGAAAGGCCCAAGCUUGCUUGGGUACUCGAGUGGCGAACGGGUGAGUAACACGUGGGUGAUCUGCCCUGCACUUCGGGAUAAGCCUGGGAAACUGGGUCUAAUACCGGAUAGGACCACUUCUUGGAUGUUGUGGUGGAAAGUUUUUUCGGUGUGGGAUGAGCUCGCGGCCUAUCAGCUUGUUGGUGGGGUAAUGGCCUACCAAGGCGUCGACGGGUAGCCGGCCUGAGAGGGUGUACGGCCACAUUGGGACUGAGAUACGGCCCAGACUCCUACGGGUGGCAGCAGUGGGGAAUAUUGCACAAUGGGCGCAAGCCUGAUGCAGCGACGCCGCGUGGGGGAUGACGGCCUUCGGGUUGUAAACUCCUUUCGCUAGGGACGAAGCGUUUUGUGACGGUACCUGGAGAAGAAGCACCGGCUAACUACGUG